GCUGCGUGAGUAUUGGAUCGUACAUGAUAAACAGAAAAUAGUGUAUGGGGUUGCAUGGGAAAGAUUGCUGGAUAUUCUUUGUACGGUUCAAUUUCAAGUGGUUCAUUCAAAACAUAUAGCAGGAAGAGUUCUCAAGCACAACCUUGUUCAGUAGAUUCCAAGCAGCCUCCACAUCCUGUUGAACUUUAGAUUUAUCUGAUUUCUGCAUCCAUAUCAUGAAUAAUCAAGAAAAUGGAUUCAACCUUGAAAGGGUUGGCCAGAAGCGGGAGCGUGACGAUGACGAAAUGGACAGCGAGUGUCUGCCGAUCUCUAAACGAAUCAACAGUCUCUCACUCAACACGCAAUACGGACAGGGGGUAAGCUCCAACGGUUGGUCGGCGGCCGGACCGUCGAACGCUCUCCCCACCCCCUCCCCCUCCACCGACCCGCCUCUGCACAUGCCAGUGUUGGUGAAUGGCUCCGCCCCUGCCCCUGUCGUAUCUACCCCGGCACCGGCGCCGCUGCCUGCGGAGCCGGACCUGAGUCCAGAGGAGUGUCCAGAGUACUUCUCCAUAAACUGUUAUCUGUAUCAGCUACAUAUGGAAAGAUUGAGGCGAAGGCAAGCAGGUGGUCAGUUCUAAAUUUUGAUCGUCGCUCAUCCGUUGCUAUCUGUUGUAACUGCAUAUUGAGAGAUUGUGAAGACGGCAGGCUGGUGGCCAGUUUUGAACGCUAUCUUAGUGUUCCAGCUGAAGAGAUAACGGACCGCCCACGCAGAGCAGAUGGUGUGCAUCUGAUUGUAAAGACAGCAGAAUGUUUUCUCCUGGUUUUCUCCUGGCAGUUUCUGUCUUCUGGCGUCUCCUGUCGUCUCCUUGCUCUUAUGAACAGAUUGUUGAAUUGAGAAAAGGCUGUACUGGUACGUGGAUAUUCUAGAGAGAAGGGACCAGUUGCCGUUCGCUCAGGUAAUGUCACCGGCUUACUAAGCCUUGUGAACGCGAAAAGUGUGUGGUUGGUUGUUCAUACGGUUUGUAUUGCCCUACGUGUGUGGGUCGUUUUACACAAGCCAUGUGUAAUACUGUUAGUGAACAAUAACCUGCCAUUUGUAAGUGUGAUUGCAGUUGAGUUCGAUAAGUGACGUGUUGAUAUUGUGUGUGCUAACCGAUUAUGAAUACUGCUCUAGCUAGUCCUGAGGUGUCGCUUUUUGCAGCGGGCUGUGCUCCUUGCGUGGUCGAUUUUCUGGAUGCGCUAAUUUCAGCGCACCUGCUGUCUGUGAUGGCUUGUUUGCAAGACCAGUUAUUGCUUGUUCUGAUGUCAGAUUGAGUCGCUUAGUCAAAUUUGCUGUUAGUGCUGUUAAUUCAAGACGCAGAUGUCCGUUUUCUGGAAACUCAAAGACAGACAAUAACUGAACGUACGCAUAGGUUGUGGAUUUUUGGAAUGAUCGUGCUUGCAGUCUCAACACUGAGCGUAAUGGAAA